AAUGAACGCUGGCGGCAUGCCUUACACAUGCAAGUCGAACGGCAGCAUGACCUAGCUUGCUAGGUUGAUGGCGAGUGGCGAACGGGUGAGUAAUGCAUCGGAACGUGCCUUUUAGUGGGGGAUAACGUAGCGAAAGUUACGCUAAUACCGCAUAUUCUCUGAGGAGGAAAGCAGGGGACCUUCGGGCCUUGCACUAGAAGAGCGGCCGAUGUCGGAUUAGCUAGUUGGUGAGGUAAAGGCUCACCAAGGCAACGAUCCGUAGCGGGUCUGAGAGGAUGAUCCGCCACACUGGGACUGAGACACGGCCCAGACUCCUACGGGAGGCAGCAGUGGGGAAUUUUGGACAAUGGGCGCAAGCCUGAUCCAGCCAUGCCGCGUGAGUGAAGAAGGCCUUCGGGUUGUAAAGCUCUUUCGGCUGGGAAGAAAUCGCACCCUCUAAUACAGGGUGUGGAUGACGGUACCAGCAUAAGAAGCACCGGCUAACUACGUG
rnacentral:rRNA from 1 species